UUUUUACUGUUCUUUACUUUUAGAUAUUCAAAACAAAGAUGAACUGGUUUAUACUAGAAAUAAGCGGUUGAAAGCUGUCAGUGAUGUAACGGGUAAGUGCGCAGAGUCAGUAGGCUGCGGUCAUGCUGGGGCACCACCAUGAAGAACUUUUAGUGGAAUGAAUCGACUCGGUUCUUGUGAUAAGAAAAUAACUGUGGGUGUUCCAAAUUUAUUGAAAUCAAAGAAAAGAAUUGAUGUGCAUUUGACUGCGGCCAUGCUGGAGCACCGCCUUAAGGGGUUUCAGCCGAAGAAAUCGACCUCAGGACUUAUUCGAUAUUAUACUGCCAGCCUCAGAGCCUAAGGUUACAAAUCGUAAAGUUGAUCAACCAAUUCUGACAGGAUUUUGUAGAACGAAUCUCACCUCCAAGAUUUAUUUUUUUAAAGUCAGAAAGCAUUAAAUCCAAAGAGAACUUGCAGAUUAUCUUCAUUCAUGUCUGUGACGAAAAUUACUAAAGACAGCUGGUGAAAACAAUAAUCCUAUUCCACUUGCUGAAAAGGUCGAGGGAAUUCGAUGAACAAUUCAUCGAAUUCCUGGAAUACGUUCGUUUUUUCUUCUGACUUUAAGUUUCCUUGUCUUUUUUAACGCUAUAAAACCGGCCUCGAAUUACAAGAUAUGACAUGCUGAUACGACUAUGAAUACAGAUUUUUGUGAUAAGAUAAAAUUUAGUGUGAUGUUCAACACACGAUGAAGGAGAUGAUAUUGAGAAUAGGUUGAAUAAAAUUAGCGGGAGAAGAAGGAAGGAGUAAUGGAUGAAUAUGAGUUGGCAGGAAUAUUACAAUGAAGAAUACUCGAAUAAUUUUUGACUGGACUUAAUAAGAAAGAACAGUAUUAGGAGGACAUAAGACCAGAAACGUGAAUGCUAGGAAAUAACAA